GAUUACAGGGUUGCAAUAUUAUCUCAUAUCUUUGGGGCUGCUUAGAUUUCUUUUUUCAAUGCUUCAUUGUUGCGGAAAGUCAGGGACCCUGAACGGAGGGACCGGCUGAAGCCAUGGCAGAAGAACGUGGAUUGUGAAGAUUUCAUGGACAUUUAUUAGUUCCCCAAAUUAAUACUUUUAUAAUUUCUUACGCCUGUCUUUACUGCAAUCUCUAAACAUAAAUUGUGAAGAUUUCAUGGACACUUAUCACUUCCCCAAUCAAUACCCUUGUGAUUUCCUAUGCCUGUCUUUACUUUAAUCUCUUAAUCCUGUCAUCUCGUAAACUGAGGAGGAUGUAUGUCGCCUCAGGACCCUGUGAUGAUUGCAUUAACUGCACAAAUUUUAGAGCAUGUGUGUUUGAACAAUAUGAAAUCUGGGCACCUUGAAAAAAGAACAGGAUAACAGCAAUGUUCAGGGAACAAGAGAGAUAACCUUAAACUCUGACUACUGGUGAGCCGGGAGGAACACAGCCAUAUUUCUCUUCUUUCAAAAGCAAAUGGGAGAAAUAUCAUCGCUGAAUUCUUUUUCUCAGCAAGGAACAUCCCUGAGAAAGAGAAUGCACCCCUGAGGGUCGGCCUCUAAAAUGGCCCCCUUGGGUGUGGCCGUCUUCUAUGGUCAAAACUGUAGGGAUGAAAUAAGCCCCAGUCUCCCAUAGCGCUCCCAGGCUUAUUAGGAUGAGGAAAUUCCCACCUAAUAAAUUUUGGUCAGACUGGUUGCUCUCAAACCCUAUCUCCUGAUAAGAUGAUAUCAAUGACAAUGGUACCCGAAACUUCAUUAGCAAUUUUAAUUUCGCCCCAGUCCUGUGGUCCUGUGAUCUCGCCCUGCCUCCAUUUGCCUUGUGAGAUUCUAUUACCUUGUGAAGCACAUGAUCUCUGUGACCCACACCCUAUU
rnacentral:lncRNA from 1 species